rnacentral:lncRNA from 1 species
UGUAUUGCAUAGUUUCAGCAAUUGGAUUUCACCCAAAACUCGCCAAAUGACUCCAACCGAAAUAUUAUGAUGUUGGCCAAGUUUUGGGCUCAAUCCGAUAUCCAUUGCCCAAUCAAAUUGGACAAUUCAAGUUCGUACGAAGUUUGUUCCCUAAAUGGUGUGGUUGGUGUAUUGAAUAGUUUUAGCAAUUGGAUUUCACUCAAAACUCACCACAUGACUCCUCCCACCAUAUUAUGAUGUUGACCAAGUUUUGUGCCCAAUCCGAUACCGAUUGAACUAAGAAAUCUGACCAUUCAAGUUCGUACGAAGUUCGUUCUGUAAAUGGUAUGGUUCGUGUAUUGCAUAGUUUUAGAAAUUGGAUUUCGCUCAAAACUCACCAAAUGACUCCUCCCACCAUCUUACGAUGAGCCCCAAGUUUUGGGCUCAAUCCGAUAUCGAUUGGUCCAUGAAAUUAGACAAUACAGGCUCGUCCGAAGUUCGUUCUGAAAUGGAGUGGUUUGUGUAUUUCAAAGUUUUAGCCAUUGGAUUUCACUCAAAAGUCACCAAAUGACUCCUCCCACCAUAUUAUGAUGUUCCCCAAGUUUUGAACUCAAUCCGAUAUCGAUUGGUCCAUGAAAUUGGACAAUUCAUGUUCGUACAAAGUUCGUUAUGAAAUGGAGUGGUUGGUGUAUUGCGUAGUUUUAGCUAUUGGAUUUCACUCAAAAGUCACCAAAUGACUCCUCC